GACGAACGCUGGCGGCGUGCUUAACACAUGCAAGUCGAACGGAAAGGCCCUGCUUUUGUGGGGUGCUCGAGUGGCGAACGGGUGAGUAACACGUGAGUAACCUGCCCUUGACUUUGGGAUAACUUCAGGAAACUGGGGCUAAUACCGGAUAGGAGCUCCUGCUGCAUGGUGGGGGUUGGAAAGUUUCGGCGGUUGGGGAUGGACUCGCGGCUUAUCAGCUUGUUGGUGGGGUAGUGGCUUACCAAGGCUUUGACGGGUAGCCGGCCUGAGAGGGUGACCGGCCACAUUGGGACUGAGAUACGGCCCAGACGCCUACGGGAGGCAGCAGUGGGGAAUAUGGCACAAUGGGCGGAAGCCUGAUGCAGCAACGCCGCGUGCGGGAUGACGGCCUUCGGGUUGUAAACCGCUUCCGCCUGUGACGAAGCGUGAGUGACGGUAAUGGGUAAAGAAGCACCGGCUAACUACGUG
rnacentral:rRNA from 1 species